rnacentral:rRNA from 1 species
AGGAUAAACGCUGGCGGCGUGCAUGAGACAUGCAAGUCGAACGGACGAUCAAGGCUUGCUUUGAUCGUUAGUGGCGGACGGCUGAGUAACGCGUAGGUGACCUGCCCCGAAGUGGGGAAUAACUGCCCGAAAGGGUGACUAAUACCGCAUGUGGUGGUGUGUUCAUUCACACCAGUAAAGCCGCAAGGCGCUUCGGGAGGGGCCUGCGUCCGAUUAGCUCGUUGGUGGGGUAACGGCUCACCAAGGCGACGAUCGGUAGGUGGUCUGAGAGGACGAUCACCCAGACUGGGACUGAGACACGGCCCAGACUCCUACGGGAGGCAGCAGUCGGGAAUUUUGCGCAAUGGACGAAAGUCUGACGCAGCAACGCCGCGUGAGGGAUGAAGGCCUUCGGGUUGUAAACCUCUUUAUCAGGGAAGAUAAUGACGGUACCUGAUGAAUAAGUCACGGCUAACUACGUGCCAGCAGCCGC